rnacentral:rRNA from 1 species
CAGUUCAGACUGCAGGCUGCAACUCGCCUGCACGAAGUCGGAAUUGCUAGUAAUCGUAGGUCAGCAUACUACGGUGAAUACGUUCCCGGGCCUUGUACACACCGCCCGUCAAACCAUGAGAGUUGGCAACACCCGAAGUCGGUAGUCUAACCGCAAGGAGGACGCCGCCGAAGGUGGGGUUGAUGAUUAGGGUUAAGUCGUAACAAGGUACC